GAGUUUGAUCCUGGCUCAGGAUAAACGCUGGCGGCGCACAUAAGACAUGCAAGUCGAACGGACUUAACUCAUUCUUUUAGUUUGAGAGCGGUUAGUGGCGGACUGGUGAGUAACACGUAAGCAACCUGCCUAUUAGAGGGGAAUAACAGUGAGAAAUCAUUGCUAAUACCGCAUAUGCUAACAGUAUCGUAUGAUACAGUUAGGGAAGGAGCAAUCCGCUAAUAGAUGGGCUUGCGUCUGAUUAGUUAGUUGGUGGGGUAACGGCCUACCAAGACUACGAUCAGUAGCCGGACUGAGAGGUUGAACGGCCACAUUGGGACUGAGAUACGGCCCAGACUCCUACGGGAGGCAGCAGUCGGGAAUAUUGCGCAAUGGAGGAAACUCUGACGCAGUGACGCCGCGUAUAGGAAGAAGGUUUUCGGAUUGUAAACUAUUGUCGUUAGGGAAGAUAAAAGACUGUACCUAAGGAGGAAGCCCCGGCUAACUAUGUGCCAGCAGCCGCGGUAAUACAUAGGGGGCAAGCGUUAUCCGGAAUUAUUGGGUGUAAAGGGUGCGUAGACGGAGAAACAAGUUGGUUGUGAAAUCCCUCGGCUCAACUGAGGAACUGCAACCAAAACUAUUUC
rnacentral:rRNA from 1 species